UGAACGCUGGCGGCGUGCUUAACACAUGCACGUCGAACGGAAAGGCCCAAGCUUGCUUGGGUACUCGAGUGGCGAACGGGUGAGUAACACGUGGGUGAUCUGCCCUGCACUUCGGGAUAAGCCUGGGAAACUGGGUCUAAUACCGGAUAGGACGAUGGUUUGGAUGCCAUUGUGGAAAGUUUUUUCGGUGUGGGAUGAGCUCGCGGCCUAUCAGCUUGUUGGUGGGGUAAUGGCCUACCAAGGCGUCGACGGGUAGCCGGCCUGAGAGGGUGUACGGCCACAUUGGGACUGAGAUACGGCCCAGACUCCUACGGGAGGCAGCAGUGGGGAAUAUUGCACAAGGGGCGCAAGCCUGAUGCAGCGACGCCGCGUGGGGGAUGACGGCCUUCGGGUUGUAAACUCCUUUCGCUAGGGACGAAGCGUUUUUGUGACGGUACCUGGAGAAGAAGCACCGGCUAACUACGU
rnacentral:rRNA from 1 species